ensembl:misc_RNA
AUUACCCCGCUUCCCAAAGCCAUGUCCUGAGGUGCCCAUGUGUCCUUGGCACAUACCAUACAUCAAGGUGGUUAUCAUGUAGGGGUUGAAUCCAUAGGAUCUCCACUUUGAACUGCACCUCAGGCAGCCUCCUUGGGGUCUGCAUUUUGCCAUGGGGGACACUGAGAUUUGGAGAA